GACGAACGCUGGCGGCGUGCUUAACACAUGCAAGUCGAACGGUGAAGCGCCUUCCUUUUUGGUGGGUGUGGAUGAGUGGCGAACGGGUGAGUAACACGUGAGUAACCUGCCCCUUCCUUCUGGUUACCGCAUUGAAGUUUUGCCAAUUCCGGAUAUUCCGGGUCUUUUCGCUUAUUGGUCUUGGGAAGGUUUUGUUUCCGUUGGGGGUGGGCUCCCCGCCCUAUCAGCUUGUGGGGGGGGUGGUGGCCUACCAGGGCGGUGACGGGUAGCCGGCCUGAGAGGGUGGACGGUCACACGGGGACGGAGACACGGCCGAGACUCAUAAGGGAGGCAGAAGUGGGGAAUAUGGAACAAUGGGCGAAAGCCUGAUGCAGCGACGCGGCGUGAGGGAUGGAGGGCUUCGGGUUGUGAACCUCUUUCGCCAGUGAAGCAGGCCGGCCUCGUUUGUGGGGGGGUUGAAGGUAGCUGGAUAAGAAGCGCCGGCUAACUACGUG
rnacentral:rRNA from 1 species